rnacentral:lncRNA from 1 species
AUUGAACAUUUUUUCGGUUUGUCCUAAUCGAUUGAGUACCAUUUGCACUUGAAUACAUGACAAAUAACUUAAAGUUCAUUGUUGAUUAUUGAGAAGCUGAGAAGUCAGAGGAUCAAAAUCUGCAGAUUUUGUAUCUGAUAUGAUUAUUUGGGAAUCCUUUUUCAUUCUGUUUGUGCAGAAGAGAUGGACUGGGAUAGAAAUGGAAUGGUGAACUUCAAGGAGUUUCUUUUCGCUUUUACUCGUUGGGUUGGAAUUGAAGAUAUCGAGGAUGAAGGGGAAGACAAGGUCUGAUGUCAGGCUUUGUACCGAGUUCGUUUCUUUCCUGCCAAAAAUUCAGAAGAGCCACCAACAUAGCUUUUCAGAACUGCAUCUAAUUCUGUUUAUGAAUGCCAAACAACAUGGCAGUUUAUGUGAACACUGGAUCCUGGUACCGUCCAAGGAUUUGUUUUGUAAAUACACUCUGCAGGACUACAAAUGACAUGAAAUACAAAAUAUCUUGUAUCAACUUUCAACAGAGUUCGUGAGCAGAAUUCUGCUGAAAGCUAAGAAGCGCGGUUUUGAGGGUUAUAACGAUAUGGAUAUAUCGAUACAGCUCUUUAACAAAAUUUAGGGUGCGCGGAUAAUUGUGGG